GCCUGGCUGGCUCAGUCAGUAGAGCAUGUGACUCUUGAUCUCACGGUUGUGAGUCUGAACCUCAUGACAGGUA
rnacentral:tRNA from 1 species